rnacentral:rRNA from 2 species
CGGACGACGCUGGCGGCGUGCCUAAUACAUGCAAGUCGAACGAACUCUGGUAUUGAUUGGUGCUUGCAUCAUGAUUUACAUUUGAGUGAGUGGCGAACUGGUGAGUAACACGUGGGAAACCUGCCCAGAAGCGGGGGAUAACACCUGGAAACAGAUGCUAAUACCGCAUAACAACUUGGACCGCAUGGUCCGAGUUUGAAAGAUGGCUUCGGCUAUCACUUUUGGAUGGUCCCGCGGCGUAUUAGCUAGAUGGUGGGGUAACGGCUCACCAUGGCAAUGAUACGUAGCCGACCUGAGAGGGUAAUCGGCCACAUUGGGACUGAGACACGGCCCAAACUCCUACGGGAGGCAGCAGUAGGGAAUCUUCCACAAUGGACGAAAGUCUGAUGGAGCAACGCCGCGUGAGUGAAGAAGGGUUUCGGCUCGUAAAACUCUGUUGUUAAAGAAGAACAUAUCUGAGAGUAACUGUUCAGGUAUUGACGGUAUUUAACCAGAAAGCCACGGCUAACUACGUGCCAGCAGCCGCGGUAAUACGUAGGUGGCAAGCGUUGUCCGGAUUUAUUGGGCGUAAAGCGAGCGCAGGCGGUUUUUUAAGUCUGAUGUGAAAGCCUUCGGCUCAACCGAAGAAGUGCAUCGGAAACUGGGAAACUUGAGUGCAGAAGAGGACAGUGGAACUCCAUGUGUAGCGGUGAAAUGCGUAGAUAUAUGGAAGAACACCAGUGGCGAAGGCGGCUGUCUGGUCUGUAACUGACGCUGAGGCUCGAAAGUAUGGGUAGCAAACAGGAUUAGAUACCCUGGUAGUCCAUACCGUAAACGAUGAAUGCUAAGUGUUGGAGGGUUUCCGCCCUUCAGUGCUGCAGCUAACGCAUUAAGCAUUCCGCCUGGGGAGUACGGCCGCAAGGCUGAAACUCAAAGGAAUUGACGGGGGCCCGCACAAGCGGUGGAGCAUGUGGUUUAAUUCGAAGCUACGCGAAGAACCUUACCAGGUCUUGACAUACUAUGCAAAUCUAAGAGAUUAGACGUUCCCUUCGGGGACAUGGAUACAGGUGGUGCAUGGUUGUCGUCAGCUCGUGUCGUGAGAUGUUGGGUUAAGUCCCGCAACGAGCGCAACCCUUAUUAUCAGUUGCCAGCAUUAAGUUGGGCACUCUGGUGAGACUGCCGGUGACAAACCGGAGGAAGGUGGGGAUGACGUCAAAUCAUCAUGCCCCUUAUGACCUGGGCUACACACGUGCUACAAUGGAUGGUACAACGAGUUGCGAACUCGCGAGAGUAAGCUAAUCUCUUAAAGCCAUUCUCAGUUCGGAUUGUAGGCUGCAACUCGCCUACAUGAAGUCGGAAUCGCUAGUAAUCGCGGAUCAGCAUGCCGCGGUGAAUACGUUCCCGGGCCUUGUACACACCGCCCGUCACACCAUGAGAGUUUGUAACACCCAAAGUCGGUGGGGUAACCUUUUAGGAACCAGCCGCCUAAGGUGGGACAGAUGAUUAGGGGAAGUCGA